GCCCGGAUAGCUCAGUCGGUAGAGCGUUAGGCUUCUAACCUAAUUGGUUCAGGAUUCGAGGGAGUCCCUGUUCGGGUG